rnacentral:rRNA from 1 species
GAUGAACGCUGGCGGCGUGCCUAAUACAUGCAAGUCGAGCGAACAGAUGAGGAGCUUGCUCCUCUGACGUUAGCGGCGGACGGGUGAGUAACACGUGGAUAACCUACCUAUAAGACUGGGAUAACUUCGGGAAACCGGAGCUAAUACCGGAUAAUAUAUUGAACCGCAUGGUUCAAUAGUGAAAGACGGUUUUGCUGUCACUUAUAGAUGGAUCCGCGCCGCAUUAGCUAGUUGGUAAGGUAACGGCUUACCAAGGCAACGAUGCGUAGCCGACCUGAGAGGGUGAUCGGCCACACUGGAACGGAGCCACGGUCCAGACUCCUACGGGAGGCAGCAGUAGGGAAUCUUCCGCGAAGGGCGAAAGCUUGACGGAGCAACGCCGCGUGAGUGAUGAAGGUCUUCGGAUCGUAAAACUCUGUUAUUAGGGAAGAACAAAUGUGUAAGUAACUAUGCACGUCUUGACGGUACCUAAUCAGAAAGCCACGGCUAACUACGUG